GCUUACCUACGGGACGCAGCAGUGGGGAAUAUUGCGCAAUGGGGGAAACCCUGAUGCAGCGACGCCGCGUGAGUGAAGAAGUAAUUCGUUAUGUAAAGCUCUAUCAGCAGGGAAGAAAAUGACGGUACCUGAAUAAGAAGCCCCGGCUAACUACGUGCCAGCAGCCGCGGUAAUACGUAGGGGGCAAGCGUUAUCCGGAUUUACUGGGUGUAAAGGGAGCGUAGACUGCAGUGCAAGUCUGGAGUGAGAGGCGGGGGCUCAACCCCCGGG
rnacentral:rRNA from 1 species